rnacentral:rRNA from 1 species
UACGUAGGGUGCGAGCGUUAAUCGGAAUUACUGGGCGUAAAGCGUGCGCAGGCGGUUCGUUAAGUUCGUCGUGAAAGCCCCGGGCUCAACCUGGGAAUGGCGAUGGAAACUGGCGGGCUGGAGUGCGGCAGAGGGGGGUGGAAUUCCACGUGUAGCAGUGAAAUGCGUAGAUAUGCGGAGGAACACCGAUGGCGAAGGCAAUCCCCUGGACCUGUACUGACGCUCAUGCACGAAAGCGUGGGAGCAACAGG